rnacentral:lncRNA from 1 species
GAAGAAAGUGAGAUAAUAUAUUGGUUUAAGUUUAUGGCAUCCAAAGUCUAUUCAAAAGCAUGAGCUUUCUCUCUUGUCUCUUAUUUCCCGUUGGAUGGUUUCUGAAUUAGGUCUUGCCUUUUGUAUUUGAUUAAUUUCCUCUGUUUAAGUCCAUGAGGAUUGAUUGUUUCUCUUUAUGGGUUUGCUGAAAUGUAAAAUAAGCAAUCUGCCUGUUUCUUCAAACAAGAGGAAAAUUAAUACUGUGACCUAAAAGGACAUUAAUUACAAAAGCAUAAUAUGCUUAUCAAUCAAAGAUAAGGUCUCAGCUGCCUCAGGCCUGAUAGACUAUCGCUUUCUCCUUUUCUGUCUUGUGUAGUUGUUGAGGAUUUCACAUAUGGACUCUGGAGCUCAUGUUCUAAAGAAAUCCAUGUAUUUUCCAGCACUCCAUCCUCACUGUCAAAACUGUCAAGAAUGUAAAAGUUCUGAGAUUGUACCCUACCUGCAAGGCAACAAGUUAACCUGGCAUGGUUUCAUGUCUGCUGAUAGAAGCUAUGAGGCUCCUAAGUCACAGGUAAAGAACUACUUACAUUCUUUAUUUCUCACAGUAAUAGCAGUAACUAG